rnacentral:rRNA from 1 species
GUCCACGCCGUAAACGAUGGAUACUAGCUGUUGGAAGCAAUUUCAGUGGCUAAGCGAAAGUGAUAAGUAUCCCACCUGGGGAGUACGAACGCAAGUUUGAAACUCAAAGGAAUUGACGGGGCCCGCACAAGCGGUGGAGCAUGUGGUUUAAUUCGAUGAUAUGCGAGGAACCUUACCAAGGCUUAAAUGUAGUUUGACCGAUUUUGGAAACAGAUCUUUCGCAAGACAAAUUACAAGGUGCUGCAUGGUUGUCGU